CAGCGGAGCAUGUUGUUUAAUUCGAUGCGACGCGAAGAACCUUACCUGGGCUUGACAUGCGCUCGAAAUCCUGGGAAACCGCCCCCGAGGACAGGUGUGACGAGCGCAACCCCUGUCCUGUGUUGCCAGCGGGAUGUCAAGUAUCAUGCCCCUUAUGUCCAGGCUACAUACAUGGUCGGUACAAGGGCUGCGAGGCCGCGAGGCGGAGCGUCCCAAAAAGCCGAUCCCAGUUCGGAUUGAAGUGAAACUCGCCUUCAUGAAGUCGGAGUUGCUAGUAAUCGGGAUCAGCAACGCCGCGGUGAAUACGUUCCCGGGUCUUGUACACACCGCCGUCACACCACGAAAGCCGGAAACACCCGAAGUCCGUGAGCCAACCCGCAAGGGAGGCAGCGGCCGAAGUGGAGUCGGUGAUUGGGGUGAAGUCGUACAAGGU
rnacentral:rRNA from 1 species